rnacentral:rRNA from 1 species
AACGAACGCUGGCGGCAUGCCUAACACAUGCAAGUCGAACGAGACCUUCGGGUCUAGUGGCGCACGGGUGCGUAACGCGUGGGAACCUGCCCUUAGGUUCGGAAUAACUCCCCGAAAGGGGUGCUAAUACCGGAUAAUGUCUUCGGACCAAAGAUUUAUCGCCUUUGGAUGGGCCCGCGUUGGAUUAGCUAGUUGGUAGGGUAAAAGCCUACCAAGGCGACGAUCCAUAGCUGGUCUGAGAGGAUGAUCAGCCACACUGGGACUGAGACACGGCCCAGACUCCUACGGGAGGCAGCAGUGGGGAAUAUUGGAAAAUGGGCGAAAGCCUGAUCCAGCAAUGCCGCGUGAGUGAUGAAGGCCUUAGGGUUGUAAAGCUCUUUUACCCGGGAUGAUAAUGACAGUACCGGGAGAAUAAGCCCCGGCUAACUCCGUG